rnacentral:rRNA from 1 species
UACGAACUGUGCGAGCGUUAUUCGGAAUUACUGGGCUUAAAGGGCGCGUAGGCGGCUUGCUAAGUAGGGUGUGAAAGCCCCCGGCUCAACCGGGGAAUUGCGCCCUAAACUGGCGAGCUGGAGUGAGAUAGGGGUGUGUGGAACUUCCGGUGGAGCGGUGAAAUGUGUUGAUAUCGGAAGGAACGCCGGUGGCGAAAGCGACACACUGGAUCUUGUCUGACGCUGAGGCACGAAAGCCAGGGGAGCGAACGGG